rnacentral:rRNA from 1 species
UACAGGGGGGGCAAGCGUUGUUCGGAAUUAUUGGGCGUAAAGGGUGCGUAGGCGGUUUGGUAAGUCUAAUGUGAAAUCUAUGGGCUCAACUCAUAGUCUGCAUCGGAAACUGCCGGGCUUGAGUGUGGGAGAGGUGAGUGGAAUUCCUGGUGUAGCGGUGAAAUGCGUAGAUAUCAGGAGGAACACCAAUGGCGAAGGCAGCUCGCUGGGACGUGACUGACGCUGAGACGCGAAAGCGUGGGGAGCAAACAGG